rnacentral:rRNA from 1 species
AUAUAUAAUAACAAAUCGAGCUAAUGCAGUCGAGGGGCAGCGGGUAAGUAGCUUGCUACUUAUGCCGGCGACCGGCGGACGGGUGCGUAACGCGUAUGUAACCUACCUUUGACAGGGGGAUAACAUCGAGAAAUUGGUACUAAUACCCCAUAACAUCACCGGAGGCAUCUUCGGUGGUUGAAAACUCAGGUGGUCAGAGAUGGACAUGCGUUGUAUUAGCUAGUUGGUGAGGUAACGGCUCACCAAGGCGACGAUACAUAGGGGGACUGAGAGGUCAACCCCCCACAUUGGUACUGAGACACGGACCAAACUCCUACGGGAGGCAGCAGUGAGGAAUAUUGGUCAAUGGACGCAAGUCUGAACCAGCCAUGCCGCGUGCAGGAAGACGGCUCUAUGAGUUGUAAACUGCUUUUGUACGAGGGUAAAUCCCGAUACGUGUAUCGGGUUGAAAGUAUCGUACGAAUAAGGAUCGGCUAACUCCGUGCCAGCAGCCGCGGUAAUACGGAGGAUUCAAGCGUUAUCCGGAUUUAUUGGGUUUAAAGGGUGCGUAGGCGGUUCGAUAAGUUAGAGGUGAAAUCCCGGGGCUCAACUCCGGCACUGCCUCUGAUACUGUCGGGCUAGAGUUUAGUUGCGGUAGGCGGAAUGUAUGGUGUAGCGGCGAAAUGCAUAGAGAUCAUACAGAACACCGAUUGCGAAGGCAGCUUACCAAACUACGACUGACGUUGAGGCACGAAAGCGUGGGGAGCAAAC